GCGAACGGGUGAGUAAUACAUCGGAACGUGUCCUGGAGUGGGGGAUAGCCCGGCGAAAGCCGGAUUAAUACCGCAUACGCUCUGAGGAGGAAAGCGGGGGAUCUUUCGGGACCUCGCGCUCAAGGGGCGGCCGAUGGCAGAUUAGCUAGUUGGUGGGGUAAAGGCCUACCAAGGCGACGAUCNGUAGCUGGUCUGAGAGGACGACCAGCCACACUGGGACUGAGACACGGCCCAGACUCCUACGGGAGGCAGCAGUGGGGAAUUUUGGACAAUGGGCGCAAGCCUGAUCCAGCAAUGCCGCGUGUGUGAAGAAGGCCUUCGGGUUGUAAAGCACUUUUGUCCGGAAAGAAAACUUCCGCCCUAAUACGGUGGGNGGAUGACGGUACCGGAAGAAUAAGCACCGGCUAACUACGUGCCAGCAGCCGCGGUAAUACGUAGGGUGCGAGCGUUAAUCGGAAUUACUGGGCGUAAAGCGUGCGCAGGCGGUUCGUUAAGACAGAUGUGAAAUCCCCGGGCUUAACCUGGGAACUGCAUUUGUGACUGGCNAACUGGAGUAUGGCAGAGGGGGGUAGAAUUCCACGUGUAGCAGUGAAAUGCGUAGAGAUGUGGAGGAAUACCGAUGGCGAAGGCAGCCCCCUGGGCCAAUACUGACGCUCAUGCACGAAAGCGUGGGGAGCAAACAGGAUUAGAUACCCUGGUAGUCCACGCCCUAAACGAUGUCAACUGGUUGUCGGGCCUUCAUUGGCUUGGUAACGUAGCUAACGCGUGAAGUUGACCGCCUGGGGAGUACGGUCGCAAGAUUAAAACUCAAAGGAAUUGACGGGGACCCGCACAAGCGGUGGAUGAUGUGGAUUAAUUCGAUGCAACGCGAAAAACCUUACCUACCCUUGACAUGUACGGAAGUCUGCCGAGAGGUGGAUGUGCCCGAAAGGGAGCCGUAACACAGGUGCUGCAUGG
rnacentral:rRNA from 1 species